rnacentral:rRNA from 1 species
AUCCAGACUCCUACGGGAGGCAGCAGUGGGGGAUAUUGCACAAUGGGGGGAACCCUGAUGCAGCGACGCCGCGUGGGUGAAGGAGCGUUUCGGCGCGUAAAGCCCUAUCGGCAGGGAAGAAGAUGACGGUACCUGACCAAGAAGCCCCGGCUAACUACGUGCCAGCAGCCGCGGUAAUACGUAGGGGGCAAGCGUUAUCCGGAUUUACUGGGUGUAAAGGGAGCGUAGACGGCAUGGCAAGUCUGAAGUGAAAGCCCGGGGCUCAACCGCGGGACUGCUUUGGAAACUGUUAAGCUGGAGUGCAGGAGAGGUAAGUGGAAUUCCUAGUGUAGCGGUGAAAUGCGUAGAUAUUAGGAGGAACACCAGUGGCGAAGGCGGCUUACUGGACUGUAACUGACGUUGAGGCUCGAAAGCGUGGGGAGCAAACAGGAUUAGAUACCCGAGUA